rnacentral:rRNA from 1 species
ACGGGAGGCAGCAGUAGGGAAUAUUGCACAAUGGGGGAAACCCUGAUGCAGCGACGCCGCGUGAAGGAAGAAGUAUUUCGGUAUGUAAACUUCUAUCAGCAAGGAAGAAAAUGACGGUACUUGACUAAGAAGCCCCGGCUAAAUACGUGCCAGCAGCCGCGGUAAUACGUAUGGGGCAAGCGUUAUCCGGAUUUACUGGGUGUAAAGGGAGCGUAGGCGGCAUGGCAAGUCAGAAGUGAAAGCCUGGGGCUCAACCCCGGAAUUGCUUUUGAAACUGUCAGGCUAGAGUGUCGGAGGGGUAAGCGGAAUUCCUAGUGUAGCGGUGAAAUGCGUAGAUAUUAGGAGGAACACCGGUGGCGAAGGCGGCUUACUGGACGAUUACUGACGCUGAGGCUCGAAAGCGUGGGGAGCAAACAGGAUUAGAUACCCUGGUA